rnacentral:lncRNA from 1 species
CUCUGAGCGGUUGAGGUUGGGGCUGGGGUUGAGCUCGGGUUGGGUUCCUCCUGGGGCAGGAGGGAAAGGCGGGAGCCAGGGCGUCAGGGCCUGCGGACGAUGUGUGUGUGAAAGGGCGCGUCAGCCAUAAGAAGCCAUAUGCGUGCGAGCCGGUCCCCACCGUCCCCGCGGCGUUGUCACCAUCAUCAUGAGGCCACUGGAGCAGCCUCAGGCGCUGCUGCCGGGGGGCCGGGCGCGGGGUGCGUCGGGCUCUGCAGGUUGGCACUCACACCCAGCGCGCAGGAUGGCAGGCAAGAAUAGCACAUUUCAAACCUACAAGAAAGAAGUGUGCCUCCCCCGUCAUUCGAUGCACCCUGGCCCCUGGGCCAUCUGCUGUGAAUGCCAGACCAGAUUCGGGGGCCGCCUGCCUGUGUCCAGGGUGGAAGCAGCACUGCCUUACUGGGUCCCUCUGUCCCUGAGACCCCGAAAGCAGAGUCAAAAGACGGUUCAAUUUCCUAUCCCCCAAACCGCCAAGAUGUGCCCCUGCCUAUGCCACCGCUUUGGGGGCCGCCUCCCGAUGCCUAGGGACCAGGCAGUGAUGCCCUACUGGGUGCCCCAGGUCCUGAGGUCUCAGCAGCAGAUAGUCAGGAGGCAGCAGAGUUUGAAAGGCAUCCAAGCACCCCUGCUGGAUGCAUGCUGCUGGCACAACUGCUGGCGGAUCUGCGGUGAUGAGUGCCUGUUGUCCAAGUUCCAGCAGCUCCAGGCCCCCUACCAGGACCAGCUACCGGCUCCUGCAGCGCGUCUGCUGCCCCUCGGCCUCCUGACCCUCCUCCAGGCCAUCCCGAGGGUCAUCAUGGCCAUUCGCCAGUGUUUUGGGGUUUGAAGUUGGAAUCUUCAGCUACUGUCAAGAACAGCCACAAAAAUGUGUCACGAUCAAGAUCUUUGAGAGUCCACCAAUCAGGAGGCGUCUGUGACAGUCGCUGUCUUCUCAGAACAGAAUCCACACCCAGGAUUCAACCCAAAUGAUUUCUCAUCAGGUGAUUCUUGGUUGUAGCAAAGUUCAUGUGAAUGUGGGUGAGUUUCUGUUAUGAAUGUGGUCAAUAAAUGUUAUUUGUGAA